rnacentral:ncRNA from 1 species
UAAAAAACGGAGGAAAGAGGAGUACGAUUAGUCAACCUGCCAGUGAAUCGGGAGUGAGUGGAAACCCGACCAGAACUUGACUAAUCCGAAAAACACUUUCUUAGUUGCUAACUGAAAUAACCUCGUUAAAGUAGGAUUAGCCGUUAACCGGUACGUUACCAUCGGUGGUGUAUGUUUGUACACUAUUUUAAAGCUGGUUUACUGUAAGGUAAACAACUUGGGUGGUACCGCGAAAGAGUCUUUCGUCCCUUGA